UACUUGGUGCGCAGCCAAGGAUGAAGCUGCUUGGAUCUCAGUCUACAUCUAAGCUUCAUGAAAAGAUUUUUUUUUAUUUUGAACACCUAGACAAAACCAUACGGGCCUCGUUGGUACGACUACGUGUCAUUCAACGAAACAGAUCCCCGAUGGUGCAAAAGCAAGAAAAUUAUCGAAAUUAGAGAUAAGCAUCUCCAUGUACCGAGUGGAUUGCAUAAUAAUAAUACAUCAUAUCAACAACAAACCGUCGUUGGAUUUCCCUGUGUCCAUGUUCCACUUUUAAUAGCACCUGCAUAAAAGUGUAUAAUACGUUGAAAUCCAAACUUUGUCCGUAUAAUUUCCUAACACCUAAUACAAAUGUUUUUAUGCCUGCAUCACGACAGCAAUGAAAAACUCUACAGUACAAAAUAAACAACAACAAUGAACAAUCAGUUCUGAAUACAUAAGGCAGACUUUCGAGUUUUUAGGCACGUGUAUGCAAGAUUGUUCGCAGGUCACAGACAUGAGCGUCUGUGCAUUCGAAGCUUUUGAAGGAAACAAUCCGAAAUUUUUUUGUAACGUGAUACAUUGCUGCACUACGGAUAUGAAGACGUGCAAGUCGCUAUACUCGAUAAUAACUACUACUCCCCUAAUUCUAGAGUUUGCAUAUCGGUUGCGUAGCUGUGGAGAAAUUGAAAGUUAAGAUUGUUUCGAAUUAGAUCCAAUAAUUAUUUGAAUUUUAGAAUUUUCUCACGAAGAAAUAAUUCCAUACAUAAAUCUUGAGUUUGUAAAUACAACUCCGCACUUGUAAAAAUAUUCACAAUGAAAAAGUACGAUUAACGUUUUACAAUCAAAAUCAAAACCAGGACGAAAAUACGAUUUUGUAUCGUUCCAUAAUAAUCCUGCAACGGCCACUUUGAAGAAGCUAUUCAGAAUCGUCAGCACAUUUCGUCGUACAAGUAUAUAUUCUGCCAGUGCACUUGCGCCCAAGAUAACUACAAAAAUGCCGAGUUCAAAUUCAGUCUUUUAUCGUCCAAUGUGCUUUACGACCAAAAUUAAUAAGAAUCAUGCACAUUUUCUUUCAACUCCGUGGCUACAUAAUACAGUUGAGGCUUAAAUUAUUAUUAUUCUUAAAAAUGUAAUUUCUCACAAGUCUUUUCUUUGCGCGUAGCGUCAUGACCAAUGCUCGAUUUGUUAUAUAAGAAAGGACGUCUUUCACAUCCAGGUGCAGCAAGGAAAGCAAUUAUCAGUAUUUAUAGUAUGUUCAGUAUCACUGUAAGAGAUGAAAAACAAUUCGGGUUGCGAGUUAUGCACCUGCCCUUUAACUUUAACAACAGCUUAUUAAUAAAGGAUGCUGAGCCACGAGCAAUGUUUACUGAUUAUAGCAAAAAAGCACCAACACAAAGCGAGCUGCACCUCUCCAGCAAAAACGUGCCAACGCAUACAUACGAUAACGAAGUACACUCUUAUAACGAUCAACACCUUCGCUUUCAACCGUCCGAUCUAGAGAAAGACGAAGGCUAGUCCACAAUUCCAUUUAUCAACAUGCAAAAAGGCAAUUAAAUUUACGAUACCAACACCGUCGUCGGGCGUAGGUUUCACCCACAGACCUGACGUAUUGGCAAGCUGUAAUUCUGGAGUUUUCUUUUAGGACUUUUAGGACUAAAUCUCUUUACCUACAAUUUAACGUCGCACUUGCACGAAACCUUAAUAUUAUACGAAUCUAUUGUACCUUCUAUCAUUCAUAAUCAACAUUUCAAUUAUUAUAAUAUUACCAUAGAAGAGUUUGUUUCCAAUUUCACGCAGCGAAUAUUAAAUAAAAUAAUGCUAUAAUAAAUCAAGAAGUUUAAAAUA